ACUGCUCUGAGUGACAGACUGUAGCAACGUUUCCAACGGCAUUUGAUUUUGGCAAUAUUCCCUUCAACGGCUCCCGGUGUCACAACGUCCCAAGGAUCCUACAAAUAUCGAAAGCUCCGUCUUCCCCUGGAAACCUUUGAGACUUGGCCUUGCUUGUAACACUGCCUCCAGCUUUCCCACAUUGCUCCAUCCCAGCCGAGUCAUGAAGAUCCUUCAGCUGUGCCUAGCAGUUCUCUCUUUGCUGCUCCUGUCUUCCUCAGGAUCUGCCCAGCGAACACCAAAGAAUAGGCGACAGUGCAGAGAUGCCAGUGGUGUUUGCCAAUUUGGAAGAUGUCACUUUCCCUACAAUCAGUGGGGGAAAUGUGGAUGGGUGAGGAGAUGUUGCGUAAGAUUUCUCAAGAAGGACUAAUUGCUGCCUGCUUACCCAGGAUCCUUUGAAAAAUGGGAGAUGUUCCCUCACCUUGAGAGCCACUGGAUCCUGCUUAAUCCCUAGCUGGAGACGCCUUCUGCUUAUUCCCCAAAGCAUCCAGAUAAAAAUAAAUAAAGACUUCAGAAAAAUUCCAUCAAUUGUAUGAGCUUGUUCCUUGCAAUAAAAGCAAAAUAAAACACUCCAUCCCUGAAUUGUAUCCAGUUCACUUUUAAAGCCAAUCCCACCUUAUUUGCACUUUCUGAAGCAAAAGGUGAACUGAAACAGAAUGUGGAUUCUCUCUUCUCUGAAUUUUUCAAUGCAAUUCUCCAACCACACAACUUGGGGGGGAAAUGCAUACAAUUGGGGGAAAUGUGCCUAAAUAUGCAUAUAUUAAUGAAAACAAAAAUGCAUUAUAUCGGGAAAUAUUUCUAUAUUAGGCAAUAUUUAUUUGCAGAAAUGUGUAUUUGGGGCAAAGUUUCAUACAAACAGGAAAUUGCCACUGAAAUGUUGAUUUUUUUACAUUAAAAAUGCAAAUUUAUGUGAAAAUGUAGCGAACUGGAUUUAAGAACAAAGGCACCUCCCUAUAGCAACAUUUUAUUUUGCAUGUUAGUCAUGAAAUCUAUAACCCACUCUUCUUCUCUUAUAUACGCUGGGGUAUGGAGGAAGUAGGAAGCAAACAGUGGAGUCUCUCUCACUGCUUGGAAAAUAGAGGAGGGAGAUAUAUAAAUAA